CCACACACACUUCCUCCUUUUGUGUCAUUUUAUAAUCUAAAGUAACAAAAACAGGAAAAUGAUCACUUAUGUCAUUUAUGACAAGACCACUUAUAAUGUUGCUUUCCAAGCAAUUAAUUAAAAUGUGAUCAAUUGAAGUAGCUGACUUUUCAGUUAUUCUACUAGGUUUAGUAAUCAGAGGGUAAAACCCUCUUCCAAAUAAUAACUCAAAAAAAUCUGAUGAUGCCUUAUGAUUGGACAUUUAAAAAAAAUCAAUAUUAUAAUCCCCGCAAAUACAGAAUGUCUUAUUUCCCUUUACCUUGCUCAAUAAAUCUUCUACUACAUCUGUGAAUGUUUCUAUCAAUGUCCCAGGCCUCCUAUACAUACAAGUAACAAUUAUAUUACUCUUUCUUUCCAUUUCUAUUUCUACUGUCACACACUCCAUUAAAUCAUCAAUAGCCACAGACAUAUAUUCAACCUGUUUACAUUUCAAAUCACUAUCAACAAAAAGUGCCACACCUCCUGCCUUCUUAUUAGAUCUAUUUAUAUGAUAUAAUUCAUACCCAUCAAUGUGAAAGUCCCAACCCCUGUCCUCAUCUAUCCAUGUUUCCGAUAGUGCUAUCACUCUAAACUUGCCUUUCAAAGUAUUCAAAAAAUCAUUGAUCAGAACAAAACUUUUAUAGAGGCUUCUACAGUUGAAAUGAAUUAAUGAAAAUGUAUUGUCUAAGUCAACAUUAUCCCUAAAUUGAUUCUCAGUAUAAUACUCGCAUGUAACAUUAAUUGCAUUAAGCACAUUCCUUUCUGGAUCAAUAUUAUUUUCAAAAUCAUGUAAUUUGUAAUCCGAAUCUUCAGUCAUUGUGAUUGGGUAUUCUUUAAAUGUCUGUUAUCCUUAUGACAUACCCAAGUAUUUCACAACAUAUUUUGAGAAACCACUCAUAGCUAUACAGUUCUUUCUGAUCCAUAAAUAACUGCGGAUCAAAUCUAUAUAUCGUCUCCGUGCAUAAUGGUGACACCGUCGAUCCCAGUUCCAUAUCCACCUGCAGCUUCACAAUAAUACUCUUCCAGUCGACUGUCUCAUACCUUGCCAUUUUCCCCCUCCGACAGUCGGAAAUAGUGUCUUUCAUUGAAUAAGUUCGGCUAGUUGUUAGCAAACACAUCAUAACAGACCUUCUGCCGUCCGACCACAACAGUGUAAUCAUCCCCCGUAGUUGUCCAAAUCAUGAAGAUCCCUGAUCAUUACAACCUUGGCUUCUUCUGGUGUUCCGUUGAGCUUUAUCAUCACUUUGCAAUUUCUUGUCCAUGUUGCUUGGAUUUUUUUUUCUUUACGCAUGAUACGGGCUUGUCUGGCAAUAUCGGCGUUCUUUUUCGUGAGAUGUUCAUUCACAUAUACUCCACUCCCUUUCAGUUGUCUGGACUGCCUCAGUAGCUCAAUUUUGUGUUUUCGAUUCACAAAUUUUACUACUAUUGCUGGAGGUGCCCUGGCAUUCUUUCUGGGGAGGGUAUAACACACCGCGAUGUUGUUGCUAUGCAGGGGAAGUUUUUUACUUGCAAAAAACUCCACUACCUGACGCUCUAGUGUUUGUUGCUCCCCCACCGGGGGCUCAUCUCCGCCAGACCUCACACCACUCCCAGUCUCAGUAACUCUUGCAUAGCUCCUGUGUUUGGUUUCCAAACCGGUAAUAAUUACGUCCUAAUUACGUCCUCCAGUCGUGCAUGCUGUUCUAAAUCCUCCACUCUCCUUUCCAAGAGCUAUCCUUUUAUCCUUUUCCUUAAUCAAGCUUUUUAAUUCUUUGAUUUGGUCCAUUAAGUCGUUAACAUUCCUUGUUGCUUAACUAUUCUUUCGACGUCUGUUGACAACGAGUUAAGCGACAGCUUAAUCUCCUCCAAAUCUUCUUCAAUUUUUCUCAUCUUUGCCAUUUUCUCCUUUUUGUUUGUUUGUGUUUUGUUUCAAGCUAAAUAUAUUUGACUUUAAUUUGAUUCAGUCACACAACCUUUGUGGCUGUAAUGUGACAAAAUGUGGGAAAGUUCAAGGGGGCCGAAUACUUUUGCAAGCCACUGUAUCUAGUUUUGUUUCCCCUUGUCUCAUCAUGUCUAAAUAGUCCCAGCUGUGUUUCCCUCCUGUUUCCCAUUCCCUCGUUGCACCCUUGUGCAUUUAAGCCCUGCAUUUUCCUUGGGUUUUUUUGUUUUGUACCCUCACUAUGCUGUGUGUUUCUUCCCUCAGUGUGCCAAGUCUACUCCUAGUUUUGAGUUCCUGGUUUAUUUUCUAGUGUUUUAGUUUUAGUUUCUUGUUUCUAGUUUCUUCUUUUGCUUUGUAUUUGGAUGUGAGGUUUUACAGCAUUAAAGCUGCCGUUUUGAGUUUACUCAAAGUGUAGGACUCAUAAACUCAAAAGAGUUUAUGAGUCCUACAUUUGGCUCUCGUAGGUGUGCAGAAUUUCCAUAGAACUUCACCUGCUGCUCCGCGAGCAUCCAAACCUCGUCCACUUCCGUUGGGAAUCCUCCUGCGCACUGGAGGCGCAGCUCAAUUCUGUCCCCCGGACAAAGCGGUGCUUACGCCGCCAGCACUCUUCAUUCACUGAGCAACUCCCAGUGGUUAAUGAAAAUGACUAUUUUUCUUAUGCUCUUCUCGACUUUCAAAACUGUUCAUCAUGGUGGAAAAGGUCUAAAACCUAUUUUCGCUGCAUCCGAGCCUGCUCCCCUGCCUCACUGUGUUCCUGUUCCUGGUCCAGCCUUCCCCUACACCCGAGUCAGUUUCCCAGGUGAGGGGGGCUAGGCCCUGGUUGGUCCCUGCUCUAGUUUCCAGGCCAGCUGAGGCUCUGCUAGUCCCUGCACCUGUACCAGCUUCUCAGGUGGUGACAGCAGCUGCCCAGCUGUUGCCACUGCCUGUUCCAGUCCCCAGGGUGAGGGCGGCCAAGAACCAGUUCACUCCUGCACCUGUACCUAUUCCUUGGGUGGGAGCGACUGGUGUCCGGUCUGUCCCGGUACCUGUGCCGGUCCCUGAGGUGAGGCCUGCCAGGACACAGCCGACCUCUGAACCCAUACCUACUACUCGGGUGGAGUGGCUAGUUCCCGGCAGGGGCCUGCACCCAUUACUGUCUCCACUGGAGGCUCACCUCAGUCACUAGCUCAGGAAUCUGCUCAGCCACCUGGUCAGUCAUCAACUCAGCCACCUGCUAAGCUGUUCAGCCAGGAGUCUCUGCACCUUCUGGCCCUGCAUCGCCUCAGCCAGAGGUCUCAGCACCUGCUGGCUCUGCAUCUGUUCCCGGUGGGGGCUCAGGUUAGCUGCGCCAGCCAUCUGUUCCUGGUGGGGGCUCAGGUGAGCCGCACCUGCUGUCUGUUCCCAUUGGGGGCUCAGGUGAGCCUCGCCAGCUGUCUGUUCCCUGUGGCAGCUCUGAAGAGCCUAUCCAGCCAUCGCCUUCAGCUUCACCACCUGCUGCGUCCGCUGGCAGUUCUGGAGAGUCCUUCCAGCUACGCAUGGUUUCCACGCCGGUUCCCGUCUCUGCUGGUGACUCUGGAGAAUCUGUCAAACCAUCAACUCCACCAACUGCCUGUGGUAGCCACGCCACCAUCAGUUGGCCUCCGGACCUUCUUUGCCUGCGCUGCCGCAGUUUUCCACGCUGUCGGCCUCCAGAUUUGAUUCACCCACAAGACUGCCCCUUUCCUUGUUAUUUGGACUUUUGUGCUUGGUUUUGGACUCUUGUGCCUAGUUUUGUGCCUUGGACUCUGUUUUUCUUCUUGUUUGUUUUACUUCGAUGGUCCCUUGUUUCAUGUCAGUGUAUCUAUUUUUGCUUCCCCUUGUCUUAUCAUAUCUAAUUAGUCCCAGCUAUGUUUAUUUUCAAAUGUUUUAGUUUGUUACUUGUUUCUAGUUUCUUCCUUUGCUUUGUAUGUGGAUUUGAAGCUUUCCAGCAUUAAAGCUGCCAUUUUGAAUUUA